rnacentral:rRNA from 1 species
AUACGUAGGUCCCGAACGUUGCGCGAAUUUACUGGGCGUAAAGGGUCCGCAGGCGGUCUGGUAAGUGGAAGGUGAAAUCCUGGGGCUCAACCUCAGAAUUGCCUUCCAAACUGCCGGACUUGAGGCAGGGAGAGGUCGGCGGAAUUCCCGGUGUAGCGAUGAAAUGCGUAGAUAUCGGGAGGAACACCGGUGGCGAAGGCGGCCGACUGGAACUGUCCUGACGCUCAGGGACGAAAGCCAGGGGAGCAAACCGGAUUAGAUACCCUAGUAGUCC